UUUCUAAAAACAAAUAAUAAAUGCUCAACAUCUAAAUUUUUAAUAUUCCUAUUUUUCUUUACCAUAUGUUGUUAUAUUUAAUUUAUUCUCUAAAUUUUGUUUGUUGACCAACGAAGAUGUAUACUUGGAAAUGUAAUUUCUGAAAAUUAUUUUUCCGGUGACUAUGGUUGACACAGUUGUGAUGUUCAUGGCCAAGGCAGAGUUAUUUAUGUACGUAGAUCCCUCCAACUAUUGGCUCGUCCGACCAAAACAAGGUCCUUUCACCACCAAAAUCUUUACCGGAAGAACUCCAGUUAUCAGUGUGGGAACUUCCAAAAGAUUUGCGAUGACAAGAUUCAGGUAUUCUCAAUUGUCCAUCAAGAUUUGGGAACCUUUCGGACAGUUCCCACAUCGAUGAUUGGAGUUCUCCCAGUAAAGAAUUUGGUGGCAAAAAGACCUUGUUUUGGUCGGACGAGUCCAGACUUGGAGGUAGGGGUGUGCAUUUGGGUAUCCGGUUCGGAUAUAUUCACGUCUCGGGUUUAAGGAGUUAAAGAUUACAGCCCAAUUCAGACAAUUUACAAAUUUCAGUUCAGAUCGGAUUCGGUUUGGUUCUUCGGGUUCAUAUUUUUUGUCCAGACCUACUUGGAGGGAUCUCCAUGCAUAAAUAACAUUGCCUUGGCCAUCAAAAUCACCAAUGUGUCAACCAUAGUCACCAAAUUUUUUUUAAGCAAUGACAUCCCCAAGUAUACCUCUUCUUUAGCCAAUGCAUGAACCUGUACAAAUUAAGAGAAUGGACUGAAUAAAAUGACAUAUGGUCGAAAAAAUUAAGAAUAAUAAAAAAAUUAUUGUUUAAGCAUUUAUUAAAAAACUGAGAAAUAAAAGAUUUGUUUCUUUGUUAAAGUUGAAGAAACCAAAGACAUUGAAAAAACUCAUUUUGUACUAAGCUAGCCAAAGAUCAUAGUGAUUUGCAUUAUCAUAUGAUACUAUGGUCUAUAGAGCUCAAACUCAAUAAUCCAAACGGUUUUCUAACCACAGAGAUAAAAUAUUAAUUAUUGUUGAGAGGCAUAUUAGUAAUUGUUUCACACUGAGAGAAAAACAAAGACAAAAUCUAAACCACAAUUUGACGUGCAGUAGAAGUGUGCAGCUUUAAUAUUCAUGCAUUCAUAAAUUAAUAAUUAAAAGACAAAAUCUCCCUAUAUAUUAAAUAAGAAGUCACUUUAGUAAUUUUUGUUGAUGUGUCGCUCAUAGGUGAAGUUU